AUUUGCCCACGGUAUCUAAUGUCCAGUCUUGUCAUUCCCAUAGCUGGGCAUUUCGUUUGAAGGGCAGAAAAAAAUCAUAAACAGGCCUUGCGACACAGAUAGCUGGUUUUCUAUGAGCUUUCUGUUACUUUUUUCCUGAUUACAUAC
rnacentral:snoRNA from 1 species